rnacentral:lncRNA from 1 species
ACAGUUUCAGGACAUCCUGGACAGAGACAGAAUCUCACAGCUUUCCAACAGACAACCUUCAAGAAAGAGGAUUUUUGACCUUGGGCUUCUCACCAGCAGGUCUGUGGUCUUCAGCACACUCAUCCUCCCCAGCUUCAGGGGCGUCUCAAAGGACCGGUCCUAUCAGAUGCAGCUGUGAACCUCAGACUCUCCAGGUGAGCUCCCCCCUCGUCCCAUCCUCUCAGAGGGGAACAUCUGUCUCUCUAACUACAGAGGGGCCACCUGAGGAGGCUGUACCUGCCGAACUCGGGCCCAGCCAGAGCAAGACUGGGACUCUGGUGGAGGUGGGUCCUGAGAAGGAAGAAAAGGAGGAGGAGGAGGAGGAAGAAGGAAGAGAAGGAGGAGGAGGAGGAGGAGGAGAAGGAGGAAGGAACAAAAGGAACUGAGGAGGAAGAGCUAUUGGUAGAUGAGGAAGAGGAAUCAUGGUUGCUGAGGAAGGAGGGAGGAUGAAGAAGUGGUACUCUCCAGAAAAGCAAGGCAAAGGUCUGUGGAGGAGCAGCCCUGGGGGCACAGCAGGGCUCUGGGUCCCACCCUCGGCCGAGACCUGAACGGACAGAGGCAGCAGAGCCCUCUGCUCUUGGGGACACCUCAGUGCUUCUCCAGGCCACGUGCCAGAAGGCUCACCAUCUUGAUGGAAGCUGAAGAGGUUUCUGUGCCUUUGCCUCUGAGCAGGUUCUUCAGCUGCUUCUUCAGGGCCUCCUUCUCCUUCUGGAGUGUCAGGAUCUCCUGAUCUUUCUUCUGCAUCUGGCUCUCCAUCUCGGAGAAACGCUGGAGCUCUUCUCCCAUCAGGAGCAGAGAGUGAUCCUGAACGGAAAGGGAUCAGCUCGGGGUGUCCAAGACCAAGUUCUCAGCACAGAGGAGAUUUAUCUGUCCCUAGAAGGCAAAAAGCCGUUGUGUUUGCUGAGUUUCCUGAUCUGGUCCUGGCAGGAAAAGAAAGAAGAGCAAAUACUUGGGUGUGCCUUCGGUAUGGCUGCAGGACCCUUUCCUGGCUGGCUGGGAAGCACACACGCAUUAAAGACAACCCUUAGAUGGGUUCUCAGCACCCAACUGGGAAGUCACGGAGCCCGCCAACUUCACCGUUCCUGGCUCCCCUGGUGAACGGUGGGCUCAGGUCCCCGAAUAACCUGGUAUCGAAUGCUUCGACUGGGCCGUGAGGGAAGAUGAUCUGCACUUCACAGUGAGAGCUCUGGAGACGCUGAGGAGGGAAAUCUACGCUGCUUGUUUUAUUCUGCAAAGACGAGAGUCAGCCUAGACUGACAUGAUACUUCUCGAGUCAUGGAGGGGUCACCAGUUGUACGGGUCAUCCAUUUCCUUUCAAGGUAUGAUUAUUUAUUUGUUCCU